rnacentral:rRNA from 1 species
UACGUAGGGUGCAAGCGUUAAUCGGAAUUACUGGGCGUAAAGCGUGCGCAGGCGGCUUUGCAAGUCAGAUGUGAAAUCCCCGGGCUUAACCUGGGAACUGCAUUUGUGACUGCAUGGCUGGAGUGCGGCAGAGGGGGAUGGAAUUCCGCGUGUAGCAGUGAAAUGCGUAGAUAUGCGGAGGACCACCGAUGGCGAAGGCAAUCCCCUGGGCCUGCACUGACGCUCAUGCACGAAAGCGUGGGGAGCAAACAGG